CGGGUGAGUAAUGCCUAGGAAUCUGCCUGGUAGUGGGGGACAACGUUUCGAAAGGAACGCUAAUACCGCAUACGUCCUACGGGAGAAAGCAGGGGACCUUCGGGCCUUGCGCUAUCAGAUGAGCCUAGGUCGGACUAGCUAGUUGGUGAGGUAAUGGCUCACCAAGGCGACGAUCCGUAACUGGUCUGAGAGGAUGAUCAGUCACACUGGAACUGAGACACGGUCCAGACUCCUACGGGAGGCAGCAGCU
rnacentral:rRNA from 1 species